UUAGCUUGAAAACGAACGUGUCGUGGUCGCAAACAAUAAACGGUUUUAAAAUAAAAACAAAAAUAACGAAAUAAACACAAUCUCUCUUAAAUAAGCUUUAAGAACAAAAACAACAAAAAUAGUAAAAAAUAUUAAAUAAAUAUUAAAAUCGAAGACAUACAAUAAUAAGAACAACGAGAGCAACAAAUAACCAACUAAUACUAUUUGGAAUUGUAAACAAGUGACGUCAAAACAAAGCAAUUAACUCGGAAUCUCCUAUAAAUCUCAAAAUAUGCAACAUAAUACUAAUGAAACCUCUGCUACCCCUUCGACAAAAUCUCCAGAAAAUACCAAUCAACAGGUGCCUGUGCGAACAUCAUUUAAUCCUAGAUUCGUUCUAACUCCCGAAAGUAUGGGUAUGAAUUUACGCUCCGAUUCUCCUACACCCAAUAAAGAACAAGCACCACCGCCAGAACCACCUCUAGUAGAGGUGAAAUCUUAUUACGAAAGACAUAGUAAAAAGCCUAUGGUGGGACUACUUUCCGAUUUGAAACAAGAAUCAAAUGCCUCUUUUCACAGUACUCACUCAAAUACUCCCACAAAUUCGUAUGCGUCGAUUAGGACCUCUGGGUAUCCCAUUAAAACCCCUUCGCCAAAUAUAUCACCAAAAUCACCAUCGCAACAACAAUGGAAUUUCGAUAAUACAAUGAAAGCGGAACAACAACAACAACAUAAUAAUAUAUAUACCUCAUCGGCUUCUCUAUAUCCCACACAAUCGUUAAAAUAUCCUAAUGCUAGCCACAGCAACUUUACGCCCAGUGCUUCUAGUACUUUACAGAAUGUAAAGUGUCCCACCGUUGAACAACCGCAUUCAAUAUCGACUAAUUCACAUUGUACUUAUGUUCAAAAUAAUACAUCAUUGUCGGAGAAUCCGUUGCUUGGCUACGGGGAGCUGCAUCAGAAAUAUAGAUCGGGUUCAGAUGUUUGCAUAGGCGAUUCGGCUAAAUUAAAUUACAGCCAUUUAAAUAGUAUAUAUUCGAAGAGGAUAGAGGACAUCGAUGCCAAUGUUUGGGGAGAUAAAGAUUUAAAAAUUAUCACCUACCAAGAAUGGGUUGAAAUGUUGACGAAAAUUAACGAAUCCUUUAUCGUGAAUAUGGAAGCAUUAGAAACAGAAGUAGCCGAACAGCUGGAACUGGUACAGAGAAAAGUCAAUAGCAAUUGUCGUCACAGUCAGGGUAAUGAGUUAAUGAAAUGUCGCAAAGACAUAGAUACGCUACUGAAAUAUAUUAAAAAUGCUCGAAAUUAUAAUAGUUGGGAUCUGCAGGGUUUUACAUUUGAGACAAUAACACCUUCGCAGUUAUUUGAUAUGGGCGAUUUUGAAAAUUUAACUAUUGAAGGCAAUACUGGAGAUGCAACAAAGAAUAGCAAUGAUGCUGAAGUCAUGCAAAGAAACAAGUUGUAUGCCAACAUGAAAGCUUUGGCUCACGAAGUGGCCGAGAAACAUGAUGAAGUGAGAGAGCUUAAACGUCAGGUUAUAUCUAUGGAGGAUGAGAUACAGAAAGCCCAACAGAAAAUCCAAUUAAAAGAUGAUGUUAUCAAGGAGUUAAGAAAUGAUCUCAAAACUGCCAAUAACAAGCUCUCGGCCCAUCAUUCAGCGGAAAACAGUUUGACAAUGCCUCCUAUUAACUUUGAAGAUCAAAGUUCUCGCAGUGCAAAUACACAAAUAAUCGAUACUCCCAGGUUCCCCGAUGACAAUGGCUCACAAUUCGAUUCUCUUAGUUAUACAGAAUUUGAAGAACAACAAAAGCUCAAAGUUUUAGAAGAGGAAAUGAAUGAGUUCUUCGAAAUGAAUAAGGAAUUAAAUAAACAGAAAAUGGAGAAUCAACGUAAACGUUUAAUGGACAUUUUUCAAAAAUCUGAAUCCGAAAAAGCUGCUGCUUAUCGUAAACUAGACUUUAUACGCAGUCAACUUAUUGACUUGGAAUCAGACUCUAUUGAGAGUAACAACGAUUGUGAUUCCGGAUUUCAUUCGAAGAGUGAAAAUAAUCAAGAUGCCAAACUUUUAGAGGCCGUACGCAAACGUUUGCGCAAAUUAAAUGAAACUAAUAGUGACCUAAAAAAAAGGUUGCAAAAGCUAGAAUUAGAAAACAAUGAGUUGUCUAACAGUUUGCAGUCGGAGAAAACAUUUUCUCAACGUAAUAGCGAGACUUUAAAGGAAGUUGCAGAUUUAUUGUGUAGCUUGAAAGGCAAACAAUUCUCCUAUACCGACAUCUAUAAUACCGCACCUAAUGAGAUGAAUCCUUUCUGUGAAGCCAUUAUGGAAAUGAAAAAAGAUUUUCAAGAUCGAGAAAGUCAACUAAUGAAAGCAGUAGGCAUAAGAAACAAACAGGUAGAAGAAUUAACAGAAUCGUUGUUAAAAAACGAAAAAGAUUUUAAUGAAGAAAGAAUACUGAAUUGGAAUGAAACUCUCAAAUGCCAAAUUGCCCAUUUACAACGCACACUCUACGAAAGAGAUCAACAUAUUCUACAGUUGAGAAGUAUGCUUAAAAAUGUCUCUCAAAUACAAUCGAUAGAACCUCAACGCGCUGCUCUCGAAUAUGUUACUUCGCGCAAUAACUUUACCGCUGAGCUGGAAAAGAAAAUUGAAGAUCUAACGGAAAAGUUGGAUAAGUCAAUGAAACAGGAGAAUUUCUUACAUAGAGAAACUCGUAAACUUAAUGAAGAGUUAAAUGAGAGUAAACGUAAGAAUGGUGACUUAAUUACACAGGCUCAUCGCUUGGGCAACCUUUUGAAAAGUCAAGAAAGUCAUCGCAUGGAACUGGCUGCCAAAUAUGAAACUUUAGAGAAAAACUAUGAAGAUCAAGCUAAAAAAUUACGGACUGCCAACAAUCAGCUGAUUAUGUUGACCGAACGUUUUCAAACUAUGGAACGGAAUCAAAAUGAAUAUAAUAUGGAGUUCGAAAUCCAAGGCCUAGUGUUCUAGUCUUUUAAAUCAAAAGUCGUGAAUUCAAUUCCCACCAGAGAUACUGUUGAGAGGCCUGAUUGAAACUUAGAUUUUCGAAAUCUUAAAGGGCCCAAGUAUAAGGAAUAACGCGAUUCUACAGAUUGUUCAAUUGCAAUCCCUUCGCUAUUAACAUGAUCUUAAUCAUUUCGUAGAGUGGGAUUAAAGACAUAAGCUUGAAGUUUAUUGAUUAUCUGAUCAACUAGAUAAUCAUGUUUAUGA
rnacentral:misc_RNA from 1 species